UUUACCUUAUGGAAUAAAAAAUUCCACCAUUGUUAGAAAACAAAAGUAGAAGAUCCGAACCUUCGAUUUGGUAAAGACUAUUUUAACGCUGAGAUAUAACAUGUUUUCACCAAGGAGGGCAGUUCAAGCAAUGCAAAGCCAUGGCCUCCAACGAGAUGAUUACACGUGUACCACAUAUCCUGUUGAGACAAGGUCUGUCACUCCUCUUCCAUGGCGCCAAGCGCUGGGUUGUGGACCUACCACAAGCUAGCCUCCUCCCUCGAGUACCAUAACCAACGACAAGCGGCGGAGAAGAACAUGGGCGUGCCACCAGGGAUAGGUAAUGGCGGCAGCGGUGGGGAGAAGGCGUUCAUCGAGGCUAGCGGCUGGAAGGCAGAGGACUUGGCAGUCCGGUCGCCAGUAGUGGGGAGGCAAGGAAAGGAUUCUUCACCAAAGGGAAAUGGAGGGAGAUAGAAAGAAGGAAGGUCGAGAGUGGGGAGGCAGGCGAGAGGCACUAAGAGGGUGGCCGUGUUCCAGUUUGGGUGUGAGUUUCUUUUAUUUCCAGUUUGGGUGUGAGUUUCUUUUAUUUUUUCGCAGUGUCAUGACUCAUGGAAAGUUUCAAGUUAAUUAAGGCUUAAAAAGAAAGUUUGAUUAUGCGUA